rnacentral:rRNA from 1 species
GUGAGGAAUAUUGGUCAAUGGGCGGAAGCCUGAACCAGCCAAGUCGCGUGAAGGAAGAAGGAUCUAUGGUUUGUAAACUUCUUUUGAAGGGGGAUAAAGUGCGUCACGAGUGGUGCAUUGCAGGUACCCUUGGAAUAAGCAUCGGCUAACUCCGUGCCAGCAGCCGCGGUAAUACGGAGGAUGCGAGCGUUAUCCGGAUUUAUUGGGUUUAAAGGGUGCGUAGGUGGUUUGAUAAGUCAGCGGUGAAAGUUUGCAGCUUAACUGUAAAAAUGCCGUUGAAACUGUCGGACUUGAGUGUAAAUGAGGUAGGCGGAAUGCGUGGUGUAGCGGUGAAAUGCAUAGAUAUCACGCAGAACUCCGAUUGCGAAGGCAGCUUACUAAGCUACAACUGACACUGAAGCACGAAAGCGUGGGGAUCAAACAGGAUUAGAUACCCGGGUAGUCC